AUUGAACGCUGGCGGCGUGCUUUACACAUGCAAGUCGAACGGUAACAGGAGCUUGCUCCGCUGACGAGUGGCGAACGGGUGAGUAAUGCGUCGGAACGCACCGAGUAAUGGGGGAUAACGCAGCGAAAGCUGUGCUAAUACCGCAUACGCUCCGAGGAGGAAAGCGGGGGACCUUCGGGCCUCGCGUUAUUCGAGCGGCCGACGUCUGAUUAGCUAGUAGGUGAGGUAAGAGCUCACCUAGGCGACGAUCAGUAGCGGGUCUGAGAGGAUGAUCCGCCACACUGGGACUGAGACACGGCCCAGACUCCUACGGGAGGCAGCAGUGGGGAAUUUUGGACAAUGGGCGCAAGCCUGAUCCAGCCAUGCCGCGUGUCUGAAGAAGGCCUUCGGGUUGUAAAGGACUUUUGUCAGGGAGGAAAUCCUUAGCGCUAAUACCGUUGAGGGAUGACAGUACCUGAAGAAUAAGCACCGGCUAACUACGUGCCAGCAGCCGCGGUAAGAC
rnacentral:rRNA from 1 species